UACGGAGGAUCCAAGCGUUAUCCGGAAUCAUUGGGCUUAAAGGGUCCGUAGGCGGUUUGGUAAGUCAGUGGUGAAAGCCCAUCGCUCAACGAUGGAACGGCCAUUGAUACUGCCAGACUUGAAUUACUGGGAAGUAACUAGAAUAUGUAGUGUAGCGGUGAAAUGCUUAGAUAUUACAUGGAAUACCAAUUGCGAAGGCAGGUUACUACCGGUGGAUUGACGCUGAUGGACGAAAGCGUGGGGAGCGAACAGG
rnacentral:rRNA from 1 species